UCGAUUCAAUCGUGCGUGCUCGCUUUGUUUGUUCCUUUGUCUUGGGUCCGUUGUGCUUUAUGUUUGCUGCAUCACAAUUACUGUUCACAAUCAGCAGUUUAAACAGCGUGGGCAAAAAUCUUGCAAUCAUAGUGGUGUCUUUCUUUAGUUAUUUUUUUGCAUAGUUGUCACGUUUGUCCGGCUGCACUGGAAUGUUUUAAAAAACGGAAUAAUUUGGUUACGGCGCCCCACUUUCGGGUAUGACCGCUGGGACUUGUAGUCCUUUUGUUCGAUUCCACUUGAGACGUUUCUAUUGUAAGGUUUCUUACGUUUAGAAUAAUGAUGACGAAAUUAAUACAUAGCGUCAAAUCAUGGUUUAUUAAAUCAUUUAUGAAAAUUAUUGUCAAGUUGAAGGUGAUGACCUGCUUCUAAUGCUUCUACAACUGCGUCUGCUAUUCUGCUGCUGCAUCACCUUUGCCAGACAUCCAAGAUCGUAGCGAUGCAAUGGUAAAAGCUUAAAUUAGGCCCCUUGGGAUACACCUUAGUUAUUGGACUCAAAAGGAAACGCACCGUGGCUCUCCUUACAAGGGACAUUGGAAGGUCGCAGAGUGAUCCAGUGUCUUCGCAGGGACCAUGGCUAGAAGAGUGGAGGACCAUCUCCAAUGUCCGACCUGUUUGGACAUCUUCAAGGAUCCCGUGGUACUGUCGUGUAGUCCCAGCUUCUGUCACUCAUGUCUACUGCAAUGGUAGGAGCAGGAAGGACAUCGAUCUUGCCCAGUCUGGAGGACAGAUUUUGUUCAAUGGAUCCACCUUUGAGACCCUUAUUUGAAAGAUGACAUGAUUUUCUCAAGAGGCAAGCGCCAGUAGCUCACAGAUCUGUGCAUGCAAGAAAGGCAACAGCGAGAAAAGGGAUGCUGACACUCAAACUGUCCACGAGUCCACUUUUGAGAAAUUCGGUGUUACCCACUCAGUGCCACUCGCUCACAGCUUCCUCGCCACCUUUUGUGUCGCUACAGCAGAAAUCCGCCAGGGGGCACCCUGGCCUCACAGAAGCUUCUGAAGAGGGCCAAGCAAAGCUUGGAGGGAGGCAACCCCUUUGGAGAAAGAAGAAAUCCAACUCUUUUCAGACAUUUUCAGUUUGCAGAUGACUCUGCGCAAAAUCUGUAAAAUUAACGGAGUAAAAUAACAGUUCUUGGAAUAAAAGGUGACAUUUUAUCGUUA